AUGAAGUCGAGAUUGAAGAAACAUGAAGGUGAGGUUAGUAGUGCUCAUGCUGAAGCUCAAGAGAAGUAUGAUAGGUUCACUACACCACAAACAUCAAUUCAGGAGUCUAUUGCUUCAAACACCUCACAAUACAAGGCUUUGUGUAAACAGCGUUUGACAUGGACACUCAAGUGUGUGAGAUUUCUGUUGUGCCAAGGCUUUGCAUUUAGAGGACAUGAUGAAAGUGAAGACUCGCUAAAUAAAGGAAAUUUUCUUGAGCUUCUAAAUUGGCUAGCUGGAAAUUUUGAAAAGAUUGACAGGGUUGUUCUCAAGAAUGCUCCACGGAACUGCAAGAUGACUCACCAUGAUAUACAACAAGAGGUGAUAAAAUGUUGUGCACAAGAGACUACUAAAUUAGUCAUUGAAGAACUUGAUGGUGUCAUUUUUGCAAUACUUGCAUAUGAGUCUAGUGAUGUGUAUCAGAAUGAACAAUUGGCUGUUUGCUUGCGUUUUGUUGAUAAGAAAGGAAGGGCGGUUGUUAGAUUUCUUGGUAUUGCUCAUGUUGAAGAUACUACCUCUUUGACACUAAAAGCUGCAAUUCAGAAAAUGCUUAUGGACUACAAUCUGACCUUUUCGAUGUAUGUUCAUUGUUUUGCCCAUCAACUACAGUUAACUCUUGUUGCUGUUGCUAAGGAGAGUGGUGAUUGUACUUGGUUCUUUCAGCAUCUUGCACACUUGUUAAAUGCUCUUGGCAUGUCUUGUAAAAAGAUGAGAAUGCUUCAGAUAGCUCAGGCUGAAGAACUCAUUGAUGCAUUGGAAUUGGAAGAAGUAGAAACAGGGAGUGGGCUGAAUCAGGAAAUGGGUUUGGGAAGGCCAUGUGAUACACGUUGGGGCUCUCACUUCAAAACUGUGAACCAUGUCAUCUCUAUAUAUGGUGCACUACGACGAGUCAUUCGCAAGAUUGGAGACGAGUACCAUGGUGCGGAGGCACAAGCGGCUCUAUCCAUAGAGACAAUAUUUCGAUCAUUUGAGUUUGUUUUCAUGGCACACUUGAUGCAAGAAAUAUUUGGAUACACAGAUGAGUUGUGUAGAGCUUUGCAAAAGCAAGACGAAGAUAUUGUUCAUGCUAUUGAGCUUGUUCGUGACACAAAGUAUUACUUGGAGACUUUGAGGACCGAUGCUGGAUGGGAUGAUUUUCUCAUAAAGGUCACAUCUUUUUGUACAAAGCAUAAGAUCAAAGUUGUUGAUAUGGAGGGUCCUUACUUUCCCGUUGGCCAGCCUAGAAGGGGUUUAUGUAAUGGUGUGAUCAAUUACCACCGCUUCAAGGUUGAUAUGUUUGUGGGUGUCAUUGAUAGGCAAAUCAGUGAGCUGAAUGGCAGAUUUGAUGAGGUAAACACAAAGCUACUUUCUUGCAUGGCAACAUUCUGUCCACUUCAUCUAUUUGCUGCUUAUGACCAAGAGAAGUUGGUUAGGCUUGCUACAAAGUUUUAUGCUUCUGAUUUUACAAGUGAUGAACUGGCAAGACUUCCAUGGCAACUAAACAUGUAUGUUACUAAUUUGAUUCUGCCAGUAGCUACGGCUAGUGUUGAAAGGGUAUUCUCUUCCAUGAGCCAUGUGAAGAAUAAGCUAAGGAGCAAAAUGGGUGAUGAAUAUUUGAACAAUUGUUUGGUUACAUUUGUUGAGAGAGAACUUUUCAAUCAAGUGAAGGAUGAAGAUGUCAUCAAUCUCUUCCAAAAAGGUGACCGCAAAGUUAUAUUGUAA
rnacentral:rRNA from 1 species